GUGGGAAGGGCUUUUUGAAGGCAGCUUGUUCAGUUCUCCGACUGACACAUCUCUCUGUCUGUAAUACCCUGCCUAAUGGUCUUUUCUUGAUCAUCUCCAGUAACGAGAAACUUGUAACCUCCAGAGGCAGCAUUUUUAUCUUUACACGUGCUGUUAAAAGGCCUUUAAAUGUAACCCUGAUGUGGCUCUGUGUACCUCCCAGUGUGUUCACCAGCUGUGCGCCCUACGCUUUGUACGACGUGGAGCACAAAUCUAACCGCUGUCAUACGGAAGAGGAGUUUGAUAUCUCGCAUGUUUAACAGGACAGGUCUGUCCUCAGAAGGUGAAGACUUCAUGAAUUUGUCCACUACUGUAUCCCCAGCAUCUCAUGGGUGCAAAUAAAUAUUUCUGAAGGCCUAAUUAAAUGAAACUUUUGAAAGCGUCCGACGCUUUGUAGGAGGUGAAUCGAUGGAGAGUUCUGAUGGCACAACAUAUGCCCUUCUAUUUCCGGGAACCCAGAACCUCAUCCUACCAAAGACGAUGUGGUUCCCUUGCUCUGCCCUCCUUUUCAAUGCAUAGCUUCACUCAAAUAUUCACUGACCCCACGCACUCAGCAAAUGUUUGUUAAAUGAAGUGACAGAUACAAUAACAGAUUCAAAAGGCACAUCUUGGAAUAGAAGAACACAGCAGACUGGACACCAGGAGACCCGGAAUGCUAGUCCUUUCUCCGCCGCCAGCUACGUCAGCUUAGGUAAGUCUCUGAUGUGAUCUCCACCUUCAGUUAAUCACCAAAUAAUCAAUCAAAGGGUAAAACAGAUUAAUUCUAAGAGACCUUCCAACUCUGACAUCCUAGAAUAUCAUAAAAUAUUCUCUUAUUUUCUUCUUGCAACUGGCCGGCGUUAAUUGAUUUUAGAAAUGCCAUUGCAUUUGCAGACCUGCAGGAAAUUCGUUCUUUACCACAGCCAUGGCCAAGGUCCUUUCAAGUAGCCAACAUCCCAGGCCACAAUUAGACCCCAUUUAUCCACGAGUCCAUUUCCCAGCAAUCUGACUCACUCAGGACCUUUUGAUCCCAAACCCAUCAAAAGAGUCCCCUGGGUAUCCACAUAAGCGGUCAGAAAGCCCCAGGAUUAAAGAUUAUGUGCAUAGCUUCUCAUGCCCUCUUUCAAAGACUUAUAUAGAGUCUAGAUUCUCGUUUUCCAUCAAUUACUCAAGGGUACUGUUUCCUCUGUUGGAACCUGUCUUCCCUGUCUGUUCUUUCUAGUGAACCCCAUUUAUUUUUCAAGCUUAUCUCAAAUUUUUACUGCUCUAAGCAACCCCUAUAACCUCCUCCCACUGCCCACAGAGUUUGUUGUCACUCUGUCACGUGCAUGCUUUCAUUACAGUGUUUGCCUCUGUGUAUUACUGUCAUGCGUGUGGGGGGUUGAAGCUUGUUGACGUUGCUGUUAUGUUGUAUUUAGUCUAUUCCCUAGGAUGGAGCUUGGUGUCGGGUAGGUGUGCAGGCAGUGUUUUCUGGAGACUUCUAGUGAUCUAUUUUCCUGGACCUUAGUAAAAGAAACAUAGUACCCUAGUAGGGAAAGCCUUGCAAAGGCCUUCAGGGGAGAUGGAUACAUGAUGAGCCCUAAGCAAAAUCCAGGUGACAUUGUAUGACACUGAGGGAGGAGACAGAAAGCCUUAAAACCCGACACAGAACUGUGAUACUGUUCAGGAUGCUAAUGGGUCUUUAGAGUGACAUCUCUGAGUGAUUUUGAAAUUACAUAGUUCCGUAUGGCAGAUGGGAAUUCAGAAUUUCUGGAAAUGUCAAAUACAUCUCAGAAAGAUGUCUAUUAAAAAGAACUAAAUAUAUUUGUUUGGUGUUCGACAGGCUCGACUUCAGUUAUCUGGAAAAAGCCAAGGUGUCAGAGGAAUGGGAUGUGAACUCCAGUCAUAAACUGACUUGAUUUGGUUUGAUUAAAUGCUAUCAUGUGCCCAGCAUUGUACACAUGUACAAUACAGAACCAGAGACGUGCUCUCCAGGGAGCGAACAGAUAAAGCUGAAACAGCUAAUAUGGGCAGCACAAUGUUCACACCCGACUGAUUGACCCAGAUUAGGAGGAUUAUAGUCCUUGGCAGAUAGAGGGGACAUGAGGCAUCCCGUUAGCCUGGAAGAUAUGGGGAAGACAGGUGGGACUUGGGCCAGCCCUUAUAGACUAAGAAGGUAUCAAGAUUAGUGAAGAAGAAGAUAAGGUUCUCUAGCUGAUGGAGACCACUCCAGGAAAGGCCCUGGGGUGGGACCGGCAAGAGGAAAUGAGAUCAUAGAGUUUGGAGUAGUGAGUAGGAUAAUGUAUUGCCUGGUAUGUCAGAUAAUGGGGACUGGUGACCCUUGGGCAGAAGUACUUGCUUCUAGAUGUUGCGGCCAAGACAAGGAAACAAAUGGACUGUUGCAUGAAUGGGUCAAUUAUCUAGCCUAGUUGCUAUUACAUAGUCAAGUCACAAAUAGUUUGGUGGUAUUGGUAUGGAGAAAGGCCCCCAAUGUCUAGAAUGCCUCCAGUGGCCUUCCGUGCCAUUCACUGCCUCCAUAAAGGGCUUCAAGGUCCUGUAUUAUCUCCUGCUACUGUCCCCUAUACUUAUACUCCCCCACUCUGGCCUCCACACAGCCGAGCGCCCUGCCACCUCAGGGCCUUUGUACUUGCUGACAUUCUUCUUUCCAAAAUACCUACAUAAUUUGGUUCUUCUUCCCCUUCUUCUUCUUCUUUUUCUUCUUCUUCUUUUGUUUUCUAAUAUUGCUCAAACGUGACCUCAUCAGAACACUCUUCUGAACACUCAAUGCAAAACAGCACCUGUGUGGAACACUCUGUCUUUCUUAUGCUGAUUCAUUUUUUCUUCCUGGUCCUUGUACUACACCCUUGUUGCCAGGCUGUGCAAAAUGUAAUGGAAAUAGAAGGACACGAGCAUCGUAAUACGUUGCUUCUGUUUUGUCUGCCAGGAACCAGACUUAGUACCAGGAAGCCCAUACACAUCGUGUGUUUAAUGGUUAGGAGGCCCCGUAAGUAGGUACUGCCGUUCCCACUUUGCAGUUAUGGAAAUUGGAGUUCAAAGAAGGCAACAACUUGCUCAAGCCACACAGCUAGGCUGAGCUGGGGUUAAAAUCCAGGUGUGCGGAGUGUGAGCCUGGCUCCUUCUGCCGUAGCAGAGAUGACUAGGUUGUGGCUCAUGUGAUGGAAGGGCUCAGAGUCUAGCAGCUGGAGGUGGGAGACAGAUAUGGUGGAAGAUUACAACAGACACACCCAGAGCCUCCGGGAAUGGAACAGAGUCAAAGGAGAAGAAAAAUCCCAAGAUGUGUAAGCUGUUGACUCUGAAGAAUUUUGCUUGCUUCCAACUCUGUGAGAAGGUGUGGAAACCAUCUGGGAAGUGCUCUGGGCUGUGCCUCCAAGGGUUGUGGCUGAAUCCUUGCUGUUCCAUACCGCCUACGGGACCAUGGGCAGUUAGUUGACUUUGCUUCAAUGGGCCUGGGUUUUCUCACCUGCCAGGAACAUUGGACCUCGUGUUCCCCAAAGUCCCUCCCGUCUCCAUGCUGAUGGUGGCACGCAGACAAAAUGAAUUCCAGUGGGUUGGCCAGCCACGAGAAGUCGAUAGGAGGGAGCCUCAGCUGGCCUUCCUCGGCACUUCCUUUUCUCCCCAUGCGAUGCUUCUUCUCUUGCUUUCCAGUUCAGCCCUAACGUGUGAGACACAGAAUCCCAAGGCUGGAGUUGUGGGAGAAAGACUGUGAGGAAUCUCAAGGGGAAACCAGAUGGGGAGCCUGGACCAGGCUUUCUUCCCGGGGGCCCGUGACAUCACUCACAAUUCUGUGGAGUUUGGGGAACAGAGUGCCCUAUCCACUUUAUCUGAAGACAGAAGGGCAAAGUGGGAGACCACAGGAUCCCCAUGGAUAAAGGACACAGGCUGGCCCCCCACUCUCAGCACUGGGAAUGGGGGGUGAAGGGCCAGGACAUGGGUAUGAGGUAGAAAUGGAUGUGGGGGAACGACACACUUCUUCAAGUUCACACUCUAGAUCUUUCAGCCAGUGCUCCACGUGGCUGAAUGGGAAAGCUGAACACCUGACUAUCGCCGGAGGCGGAGCUAGUAUACAGGUCUGGGCAAAAGCAAAAUUGGGGCAGAGAAUGGACUUCUGUUCAGGCAGGACUUUCAAAGGGUUUGGUGCCCACACUGAUGGUUUCUGUUGGCAAAGACAGCGUCUGUUCAGUUGAAACUGAACUUCUCCAUAAACCCUGUUUCCUCCUACCCGCUUUCCCCAUCUCUUUCCUCACCCUUUCCUGAACAAUAUUAAGAAAUAGUAUGUUUUUAAUACAAUUUCCAGUGAAAAUACAUUAUGCCCUUGACAGUGGUGUCCUUAAGCCCGCUUAGGAGCCGAUUGUUAAAUUUUCAGAAAUCGUGCGAGCUGAUAGUUCAACAUAGCCAUUACUUAAAAAUUAAACUAUAAAACUUAAUUAAAUAAGUUAUGAUGAAAACAACAGUAAUAAAUGCUCAAAGUCAUCACUUCCUAAUUAUUGGACUGUCUCUUACCAUUUUCUGUGCUCUUGAGUUUACUUACAUCCAUCACGUCUGUAUGAUGAAAAAUACUGUAUAAUGGGGGUCACAUAUCUUUGUAAUUCCAUGUUCAGCAAAAUUAUCUUGGUAGCUCUAAAGUAGUCAUGGUUGGGAGCAUUUAUACCACGGAAAUCAGCAAACGUCACAAAUCAAGCCUCGAUUUAUUAAUUUGUUGAUUGCCUAGACAUAAAGGAGUGGUGGAUAAAAUGUUAAUAAUGCAAGUUAAACUUAAAGAAUGUGCCAUGUCCAUAGCUGUUCCAUUGUGAAUAACCCACAAAAACACGGAGGAAUAUUAUUUUCAUUUUCAAAAACUGAUCUGAGUCAGCAAAGAAGCUGCUCAUGUCAUUGAUAAACAAGCGAGAUGCCAACACACAUCUCCAUCCUUUCACUUCCAUCUUGUUAACUAAAAUGAAAAUAUCAGGGCACCUGGGUGGCUCAGAUGGUCGAGCAUCCGGCUUUUUUUUGACUCAGGUCAUGUUCCCAGGGUUGUGGGAUCAAACCCCUUGUCGAGCUCCAAACUCAGUGCGGAUUUUCUCUCCUCUGCCCCUCCCCUGUGUGCUCUCUCUCUCUCUCUCUCUCUUUCUCUCUCUAAAAUAAAAAAAAUGAAAAUAUCAACUAACAUUCAUAUCUAAACUGUUGUUCAUCAGUAGCUAUCAUAGGUUGGUAACGGAUACCGUAAUUUGGCAAACGUCAAUGAAAGCAUUCUGUGAGAACGACUUGGCUGUGUGAAAUGUACAAUAAGGAACAUUAUAUAUUUUCUUAUUAUUUGUAAAUUGUGUACUAUAAUAUUUUACAUUGGCAAAAUUUAUAAUCAACUUAUGUACGAAUGCAUAUAUUCAUAUAUAGGCAACUUGUGUGUGUAUGUGUGUGUAUAUAUACACACAUAUAUAUUUUAUAUACAUAUAUUUUUUCCCUAGAGAACUUACUGGCAGAUAUUUAUCAGCAUACCACGGACUCUUGGAGUCAUCACCUGACUGAUUGGAAAACGGACACUCAUACACAAUGUCACAACAUUUGUAACGUUGGGCCCAGAUAGCACUGAGCCCAGAGUAGAUACUCUAGUUACGUGACUUGGAGACUAUAUCAAGAUCCCAUAAUGUUACUAGAUUAUAGGAAAGUGCUCUAUUCUUUUCAUUUCCAGUGCUUUCUGUUGACUUCCUAACAUAGCCUUGCAUUCCUUAUCUCCAAAUAAAACUUUAUGACGGUAGUCUUGGACACGGAGGACUUCUAGCAGGGUAGAAACAUGGCACGCAGGAGGACCCAGGGAGUACAGCCCGGGAAGGAGGGAGCAGGCUGGGAGCUUUCUCCUUUGAAAACUUGGGUGCCCAGGGAGGAAGGUUCCAUGCCAGAACAAGCCGGCGGAUGGUUUAAAAGAUUAGAUGCCUGGAAGUUCAGUCACACCCACCUGUUUACCUCUAGCUGAGUAUACACUAAGCACUCCAUAAAUGCAGAGUUCGAAAGAAGUCAACACAAAGUCAAUCAACCCAAAGUAGCUACUAUUUAUGAAGAGUGUGCUCUGUUUAUUCAGUGCUUGAUGUUUCGUAUCCGUUAUCUUUCACUUUCACUAGCCCCCUGCGGCCAUUGGUAUCAUCUGAUUCCAUUUUAUAGAUAAGUAACCUGAGGAGCAAGGAUGUUAAGUAAUUUUUAACAACCAACUUUUGGCAGAUCUGAUCGCCUUCCUUUGCGGGGCUCUCCAAUCCCAAUACCUAUCUUCUUGCCCUGUACCAGGGUGAGGGAGGCAGGGAGGUAGUACGUGAGAGCUGGUGCGUGGGAGGGAAAGAGGAGCACACACACCCCGUGGUCUGUACUUGAGUAUAAAAAUGAAGUACAGAGUCCACGCUACCGGAGGCUCUUCUCAAUGUGUCAGAAUGGCGUAAAGAUCUUCCGGAAGGACUGUUUUCCGCGAAGCUUCCCUGGCAGCCCAGAAACAAGAGCUAUCGGAGAAGCGUAUGGGGCCACGAAGUGCCUGAGGUUGCCGGGCUGUAAAACGGGGGAGCGUCCAGAAGCCUCCUAAGUAAUCCACUGCAGUGUUGGCUGGAAAGUCUAGGCGGGCUUCCCGGUUCGUAUUGUUGAAUUCUCUGAAGGACAAGAAUGAGAAUAAGAGUAAAAACGGCAAACAUUUAUGUAGUAUUGAUCAGGAUUCACAUAUAUUAAACUAACUUCAUCCUCAAGACACCCUACAGCGAAGGUCAUACAUGGCGACAAGAUUGCUGGAUGGUUCUGUGACCCGUUCCCUUCUUCCUGGCGCACAGCUGGGACCGUAUCUCUAGUUUUCCCUGGAUUAGGUGUCUCACACCGCUCGGCACUGGCCAAUGGAAAGCGAAUGGCCGGGACGUGUGCCGGUUCCAGAUCAGGCCACGGGGCUCCCGUGUUCCUCUUCCUCAUGGGGUCUUCGGAAACCAGAUGUUGCAAACAGCAGAACAACUGUCCGACUGAGGCUUCUGAAUGACUGGGACAGAAUUCCCUGCCCAUCUGAAACUACCCUAUUUUGUGAAUGAGAAACUUUUCUGUUGA